UUUCAAUGAGUCUUGUUCUUUGUUCGUCCUCUUUCUGAAAACUCUUGGUUUUCAUCUGUAAUCCUUUAGUUCUAGGUGUUCUUAGUGAGAUCUAAUAUAGAUUACAGUGUUCUUGUGAUGAUUCUACUCACUGAUUGAGUAUUUGGUAUAGGUUACUUUGGUGUAAUCUAUGUGAGAAAGAAUUCGUGUGUUUUCCAAGUCUGAGGAUUAGAUCUUUUGGAUCUCUUGUGCUAUAAUUCUUAAACACUUGAUAUUUUUCUUGGUUCUAGUGGAUUGGAGCCAUAACCAUUUAAGAUAUCCUGGAUUUUAGAUGUUUGUCAAUAUCACCAGGUAUUGUUUUAAAAAUCGCAUGCUGACUUUUAGGAUUCUAUCAGAAAUGCAAUUAUUGAUUCCUGCAUAAGGGUGACAGACGAUAGGAGAGAGCAUUCAAAGAAAAGUUUUCUUCAUUUUCAUGCUUUAUAACACUUCCAAUCACAAUGAUCAACUGAAGGUUUGCAAGCUUUUUAUUCCAACUGUUUACAACCGUUGUUUUUAACAACAUAAUCAAUCAAAAUCUUGUAAUUUAUUGUUGGGGGCAAACAGUCCUGAAGAAGCUACAAGAUGGAUUCAGUCAUUUCAAAAAGCUGCUUUGACGGUCAAAACUGUUCUAUUUUAUUAAAUUAGAAGAUAUAUUUUAGAUGAUUAUGGAUAACUGCAGCCCGCUUGUGUACCACGGUCAUUUGGGUAUGUAAGCAUUAUUUUUUAUGUUUAUUAAUGGAGAAGAUGA